UACGUAGGGGGCAAGCGUUGUCCGGAAUCAUUGGGCGUAAAGAGCGCGUAGGCGGCCCGGUAAGUCCGCUGUAAAAGUCCAGGGCUCAACCCUGGAAAGCCGGUGGAUACUGUCGGGCUCGAGUCCGGAAGAGGCGAGUGGAAUUCCUGGUGUAGCGGUGGAAUGCGCAGAUAUCAGGAGGAACACCGGUGGCGAAGGCGGGUCUCUGGGCAACAACUGACGCUGAGGAGCGAAAGCGUGGGGAGCGAACAGG
rnacentral:rRNA from 1 species